rnacentral:rRNA from 1 species
GAAUGCUGACAUAAGUAACGAUAAAGCGGGUGAAAAGCCCGCUCGCCGGAAGACCAAGGGUUCCUGUCCAACGUUAAUCGGGGCAGGGUGAGUCGACCCCUAAGGCGAGGCCGAAAGGCGUAGUCGAUGGGAAACAGGUUAAUAUUCCUGUACUUGGUGUUACUGCGAAGGGGGGACGGAGAAGGCUAUGUUAGCCGGGCGACGGUUGUCCCGGUUUAAGCAUGUAGGCGGAGGUUCCAGGUAAAUCCGGUACCUUUUAACGCUGAGGUGUGAUGACGAGGCACUACGGUGCUGAAGUAACAAA